UCUGACCCUUGUUGUCAGCCCUCAGCACUCCUCCUUGCUGCUGCAGCUGGUGGUCUGGGAACUUGAUAGCAGAGGCAGACCAGCCGGAGGAGGCCUACAGAGCACACAGCUUUGUUCUCAGCCUGAGACUUAAGGAGCUUUGAGAUUUACAUGGAAGCUAUCUCAAACAAUUAAGACUCACCCUUAUCCUUGUAACACAGGGAUGAUUGCCCUGAGAAACUCUUGGGAUAUAGCCCUCACCUAUUUCCGGAAUCUGGCAUCUCAGCACCCUCUGGAAAGCACCGAUCUAAAUAUACCCUGCUGUGAAUCACUCCACUGAUAAAGGCCUUUGCCUUGUUUGUUGACCACUGAUCUUGUGCAGUGCUGCUGAUCUUACUUGGGAAAUGUUGUUUUUUGUUUAGUCUUUAAAGGUAGUAUUCAUCAAAGAGACUGUACUCAAGAAUACCCACGGCUGAAUUAGAGGACAUAGAUGGUUUUUGUUUUUGUUUUUUCUUAUUACAACAAUAAGGGGAGUGUACUAUGUUCCUGGCCCCUCUCACUUAGAGGAACAAGGAUUACACAGAAAUUUGAAGCGGCGACUGGCUUAUGAAGCUUUUCUUCCCUGGUGUUGAAAAUGCCCUGAAACAUGUAUUCUUAAGCCAAUGAAGCAUAUAAACAUGGA
rnacentral:lncRNA from 1 species